rnacentral:rRNA from 1 species
CCUACGGGAGGCAGCAGUGGGGAAUAUUGGUCAAUGGAGGAAACUCUGAACCAGCAACGCCGCGUGAAUGAUGAAGGUCUUCGGAUUGUAAAGUUCUUUUCAAAGGGAAGUAGAAAGUGACGGUACCUUCGUUAUAAGCCUCGUCUAACUACGUGCCAGCAGCCGCGGCAAUACGUAGGAGGCGAGCGUUAUCCGGAUUGACUGGGCGUAAAGGGUGCGUAGGUGGUUUGACAAGUUGGUAGCGUAACUCCGAGGCUCAACCUCGGCACUACUACCAAUACUGUCGGACUUGAGUGCAGGAGGGGCAAUUGGAAUUCCUAGUGUAGCGGUGGAAUGCGCAGAUAUUAGGAGGAACACCGGUGGCGAAGGCGAAUUGCUGGACUGUAACUGACACUGAGGCACGAAAGCGUGGGGAGCAAACAGGAUUAGAUACCCGGGUAGUC